ACUCGGCUGCGGCCAUGGCUCCUGUGAAAAAGCUUGUGGCGAAGGGGGCAAAAAAAAGAAGCAGGUUCUGAAGUUCACUCUUGAUUGCACCCACCCUGUAGAAGAUGGAAUCAUGGAUGUUGCCAAUUUUGAGCAGUUUUUGCAAGAAAGGAUCAAAGUAAAUGGAAAAGCUGGGAACCUUGGUGGAGGGGUGGUGACCAUCAAAAGGAGCAAGAACAAGAUCACCGUGACAUCUGAGGUGCUUUCUCCAAAAGGCAUUUGAAAUAUCUCACCAAAAAACAUUUGAAGAAGAAUAAUCUACGUGACUGGUUGCGCGUGGUUGCUAACAGCAAAGAGAGUUAUGAAUUACGUUACUUCCAGAUUAACCAGGACGAAGAAGAGGAGGAAGAUGAGGAUUACAUUUCAUUUAUCCAGAAUAUUUUGUAUGAGUUCUUGAAUAAAACUUGGGAACAAAAAAAAAAAAAAAUUGGGACCUAA